ensembl:lncRNA
GUUAUUUUAUCUUUUGUUACCUGUGACAUUUCUCGCUGAUUAUCGUGGUCUCCAAACACGUUUCUCUGUGCAUAACGUUUCAUGUCUUGGGGCGGGGCUUUGAUACGAGUGGGCGUGUCUAAUUCAGUAGAGAUGUCACAAGGUGACGAUCUUUAGGGGCGGAACCAAAAUUCGGGAAGUUUGGUUCCGCCCGGAAGUGUUUCCGCCCGGACCGGAAAAACAGAACACCGGAACUUCCGGUAGCGCCGUAAGAAGGAAAAUCAGGGAAUUCGAUGCACCUGUGCCUAGUUAGGGACAGCGGUUGGUGAUUGGAGGAUACGCUGGACAAGGCAGUACUUAAGGCCAAGUUAUUUCACAGUCUGGGAGCUCUUUCUGGUGUGUGUGAAGCACUGUGUUGUGCCUGUCUUGGUGCGCUGCUGGUGGCUGUCUAACUCUCUCUCUCCCUCAGGCUGGAAUUGUAUGAUUGUGAAGACAUCGCGAACCUUAAAGGUUGAGAAGUGAACGGAUUAUACGGCGAACUGAGACGACGUGAAAAAGGGGAUUGGAAGCGGCAUUGAUGUGAGUACUAAGAGCCAGUCGAAAGUGCCCUGUAUAUUGACCUGGCGUUGUGUAGAUCUCUCCAGGAGGAGGAGGGCGGCCCUACCCCUAAUAUAGCGUGGUGGGAGAGCCGAAGGAAUACUUAUUGAAGUAGUCACAACGACGACAUCACUAGCUAGGCCGCAUAUUCCAUCGCCAGAUCCGAACCAAGCGAAGUGAAGGAAGACGGGUGUCCUUUUUGUACACUGAGUGUGGUGGGUGAGUCUUCGUGCUGUGAAAACCUAUAAUUUUGACGUGGUGUUGUAUAUUGCUGUGGGCUGCUGUGUAUUGCCGUGUGUCCUGUCAGAUAAACCCCCGCCUUCACGCACUUCGUCGCGGGAGGACAAGGAGACUGCUGGUCCUAGCCUAGUUCAGUACAGUAUAUGUUGUGAGCGUGCUUCAGAUCUCCGGAGAUAGCACGGUACGCUGUGUCCAGCCCAGAGGUGAGAGCCAUUCAAAGCAAACUAACUGUGCUAUUGUGCCCAAGUUGAUACCUGUGGAGAGAAAAGGAGAGAGAGUGGGUAACACGAGGAGAGACCGAGGAAACCUGUACUUACGCCGCUGCCUGUGGAGAAAGAGAAAGCGACCGUUGCCUGUGGAGGAAGAGAAAGAGAGUGAGCACCCCGAGAACGAACUGUGUGAACCAGUACUUACCGGGAGCUGUAUUCAGCGAAGAGGAAGGAGGGCGCUACGGAUACCUAAGACUCAGGCCGGGGCCCGAGUCCCACGCCCCGGAUCCCCGUGGCCCCCUUGCUCCCUGACCUCUUCCCGGCCAUAGCCCAUCUGGAGGGCCGACUCAGAGUUUAGUUUUAAUUGCCCUUUCCCUAUUCCCCAAGCUAUUUUUAAAUAUUUAAAUAAAGAUUGUUUUAUCACUUACUUGUUCUCGUGUUGGCCAUUGGGUUGGCUUUGGGGACCUCCUCGAGGUGGAAGUUGAGAAGGGGUGUGGCUUAGUCAAAGCAUAGCCAGCCCCUGGGUGUGACAGAUACAUGUGCGGUUGCACUUUUUUUUUAAUUAGCAAUACUAUCAUUAGAACAAGAAAAAAAGUGGGGUAAUAAUAACAUAUCAAAAAUCAUAUUAUGAACAUUUACUUUUUGUACUCAAAUAUGUAAUUUUAAUAUAUAAUAUAUAAAUAUACAGUUUACUCUAAAGUUGGGAUAUAAACAAACUACAGAAAGGUUGCAUGACUUCAGGGUCACCAAUAAUCUUUAAAUAAAGUAAAAGAACAGUUUGAAGAGUUCAAGAGUGUUCUGAUGCUGUAAAUUCAGACUACUGAGUAGAUGAUUUUACAUGCUUGACGGGAUGAUAUUUAAUGUCCCCGACAGCUUUUGUAGUACCAUUUAUCAACUUGUUAGCAACAAACCUUUUUUCAAAACAUCUAAAAUCACGAGUUGGUAUUGAUGAAGCCUAUUACUGGAAGCGCAAAAAAAUCACACAGUCACAAGUCAGAAGUCUAGCUAUUUGAGUUUCUGGGUUUUAGGACUUAUUACUGUGACAAUCUAUUGAGCCUAGAGGUCAGUCUGUGACAUUUACAGUACAUUCUCUUUUGGUCAAAUGUCUUUUCAACGUACAAAUUUGCAAGUAAGAGUUCACCAAACUUUGGUAUCCAGCAGAAAUCAAAACUUUUCUGCAUGUGCUUGCAUUUCUUCUCUCCCACACUGACAUGCCUAUGAAUGGAAGUGAAGGGAGUACUAAGACAUGUGUUAAAGUCUCUUUUGGGGGAGUUCCUGAAUAGCUAACAUCACUUCCAGCACCUUUAAAGCCCUCUCCGUUCCUCUGCUGUAGACUGUUAUGGCAGCUGAGCCACGGGCAUCCUUGCAGGGCAUAUGAGAUGAUUAAGAAAAUUCUCUGGAGGGAAUUCGAGUCUGCCUGUUCAAAAGCCACAUUCUGCAGAAACAUUUUGCCAACGAGACAGUUGAGGAAAGUCUGGAAUUGUCUGAAUACCCGUUUUGUUUCAACACUGCUGACACUUGCCAUGUGAAAAGAAGGCUGGGUACUUCAUAAUUACUCUAGGUAUGGCAUUAAUCAAUUGACACAAGCUAGACUAUUAGAUAUCAGAGAUUUUGCCCAACACAAACUGUCAUUUGUUUGCUAAGUUAGUUUGCUUUUAUAAGCAGAAGCAACAUGCAAACUAGCAUUAAGGAGUGAUGGAUUGAUCUGUAGGUGCUGUGUGUGUGUUUCCUAAAUAUCUUCAGCUUCCAACGGCAUGUCAUUUGGAAACCCCAUUUUAUUAUGAUAACAUUACAAAAAUGUUAAAUGUUCACAGAAAAUGGCAGUAGUGUGAUUUAGUACAGUUCUCCAAUUCUUCCACCUUGUGCUGACAAAGUAACACAGAUGCCAAGCUAAUGGAAGCUUGUUUCCACCAACGGAUUAAAAAAAAAAAGAUAAUUGUGACUCUUAAUACACUCCUUACUAAUUUAUAUCUUACAAUUCAGUUUUUUAUUAUUAUUUUUUAGUCAGUGGCAUAAAUCACACACACACACACACACACACACACACACACACACACACACACACACACACACACACACACACACACACACACACACACACACACACACAAUUUAGAGUAAAAUAUUAAAUUGCAAGAUGUAAACUCAAUAUGCUGAGGAAACAAAGUCUGAAUUUCAAGAUGUAAACUUAGAAUUAAAAAAAUCUCUAAACUGUCAGAUGUAAACUCAGAAUUUCAAGAAAAAACAUGAAACUGUGAGAUGUAAACUCAUAAUUUUGAGAAAAAAAAUUGUUAAUUGUGAGAUAUAAACUAGCAAUAGCAAGGAAAACUCUAAAACGGCG